CUUGAUCGACCCGAGCAGCAGCGGCGUUUCGCGGUCCUGCCCGUAGGUGGACAGCAGCGCCUGUGCCUC
rnacentral:antisense_RNA from 1 species